CGUGACCUACCCUGUAGUUCCGGGCUUUUGUUUAAAUGGCGUUCGGCACAUUGUCGGACUGCUGGCUCGAUUAUCAGAAGCUCGUCUCUACAGGUAUCUCACAG
rnacentral:pre_miRNA from 15 species